rnacentral:rRNA from 1 species
ACAGGGAUUGCCCUAGUAACGGCGAGUGAAGCGGCAACAGCUCAAAUUUGAAAUCUGGCUCUUUCAGAGUCCGAGUUGUAAUUUGCAGAGGGCGCUUUGGCUUUGGCAGCGGUCCAAGUUCCUUGGAACAGGACGUCACAGAGGGUGAGAAUCCCGUACGUGGUCGCUAGCUAUUGCCGUGUAAAGCCCCUUCGACGAGUCGAGUUGUUUGGGAAUGCAGCUCUAAAUGGGAGGUAAAUUUCUUCUAAAGCUAAAUAUUGGCCAGAGACCGAUAGCGCACAAGUAGAGUGAUCGAAAGAUGAAAAGCACUUUGGAAAGAGAGUCAAACAGCACGUGAAAUUGUUGAAAGGGAAGCGCUUGCAGCCAGACUUGCUUGCAGUUGCUCAUCCGGGCUUUUGCCCGGUGCACUCUUCUGCAGGCAGGCCAGCAUCAGUUUGGGCGGUGGGAUAAAGGUCUCUGACACGUUCCUUCCUUCGGGUUGGCCAUAUAGGGGAGACGUCAUACCACCAGCCUGGACUGAGGUCCGCGCAUCUGCUAGGAUGCUGGCGUAAUGGCUGUAAGCGGCCCGUCUUGAAACACGGACCAAGGAGUCUAACAUCUAUGCGAGUGUUUGGGUGUCAAGCCCGAGCGCGUAAUGAAAGUGAACGGAGGUGGGAACCCGCAAGGGCGCACCAUCGACCGAUCCUGAAGUUUACGGAAGGAUUUGAGUAAGAGCAUGGCUGUUGGGACCCGAAAGAUGGUGAACUAUGCUUGAAUAGGGUGAAGCCAGAGGAAACUCUGGUGGAGGCUCGCAGCGGUUCUGACGUGCAAAUCGAUCGUCAAAUUUGGGCAUAGGGGCGAAAGACUAAUCGAACUAUCUAGUAG